GACGAACGCUGGCGGCGUGCUUAACACAUGCAAGUCGAACGGAAAGGCCCUGCUUUUGUGGGGUGCUCGAGUGGCGAACGGGUGAGUAACACGUGAGUAACCUGCCCUUGACUUUGGGAUAACUUCAGGAAACUGGGGCUAAUACCGGAUAGGAGCUCCUGCUGCAUGGUGGGGGUUGGAAAGGUUCGGCGGUUGGGGAUGGACUCGCGGCUUAUCAGCUUGUUGGUGGGGUAGUGGCUUACCAAGGCUUUGACGGGUAGCCGGCCUGAGAGGGUGACCGGCCACAUUGGGACUGAGAUACGGCCCAGACUACUACGGGAGGCAGCAGUAGGGAAUAUUGCACAAUGGGCGGAAGCCUGAUGCAGCAACGCCGCGUGCGGGAUUACGGCCUUCGGGUUGUAAACCGUUUUCGCCUGUGACGAAGCGUGGGUGACGGUAAUGGGUAAAGAAGCACCGGCUAACUACGUG
rnacentral:rRNA from 1 species